rnacentral:misc_RNA from 1 species
UUUCCGUAGGUGAACCUGCGGAAGGAUCAUUAUUGUAUAACCGAGGUGCGAGGGCUGUCGCUGACCCGAAAGGUCGUGCACGCCCGAGUGCCCUCACACACAUCCAUCUCACCCCUAUGUGCACCACCGCGUGGGUCCCCCUUUGGCUUGUUCGGAGGGGGGCUUACGUUUUCACACAAACUUUGUAUGCAGUGUAGAAUGUAUUUUUUGUUUUGCGAUCACGCAAUCAAUACAACUUUCAACAACGGAUCUCUUGGCUCUCGCAUCGAUGAGAACGCAGC